ACCUUUUUGUGCUGCAUAAAUGUGGCGUUUGGGUUUUCAUGCCAUUGUGUGAGAUGUAUCUGCUUCAGACUUUGCUAUGAGGUAUGUAUAGUACUAUCUGGCA